UUCUUUGCUGGCGACCGGCGCACGGGUGAGUAACACGUAUCCAACCUGCCCUUUACUCGGGGAUAGCCUUUCGAAAGAAAGAUUAAUACCCGAUAGCAUAAUGAUUCCGCAUGGUUUCAUUAUUAAAGGAUUCCGGUAAAGGAUGGGGAUGCGUUCCAUUAGGUUGUUGGUGAGGUAACGGCCCACCAAGCCUUCGAUGGAUAGGGGUUCUGAGAGGAAGGUCCCCCACAUUGGAACUGAGACACGGUCCAAACUCCUACGGGAGGCAGCAGUGAGGAAUAUUGGUCAAUGGGCGUUAGCCUGAACCAGCCAAGUAGCGUGAAGGAUGAAGGCUCUAUGGGUCGUAAACUUCUUUUAUAUAAGAAUAAAGUGCAGUAUGUAUACUGUUUUGUAUGUAUUAUAUGAAUAAGGAUCGGCUAACUCCGUGCCAGCAGCCGCGGUAAUACGGAGGAUCCGAGCG
rnacentral:rRNA from 1 species